rnacentral:rRNA from 1 species
UACGAAGGGGGCUAGCGUUGUUCGGAAUCACUGGGCGUAAAGAGCGUGUAGGCGCCAGAUAAGUCCGCUGUGAAAACUCGAGGCUCAACUUCGAGCUGUCGGCGGAAACUAUCUGGCUAGAGUCCGGAAGAGGGUAGUGGAAUUCCCGGUGUAGUGGUGAAAUGCGUAGAUAUCGGGAGGAACACCAGUGGCGAAGGCGACUACCUGGCCUGUUCUUGGACGCUGGGGCGCGGAAAGCUAGGG